CAAGUUCUUCAGGGUUAGGUGAAAUACCUUACCGGCGGUAGACGACUAGUUCGUAAGCCCGCGAGCUCGAAAGAGCAGAUUCGGUCAAAAUCCGAAGCCGACAGUUACAGUCUGGAUGGAAGAAGAACGAG
rnacentral:ncRNA from 2 species